UUCUGAUGUGGGUCUCUCUCAGUCUCUCCUGGUGAAGCUAUUCAACUUUGGUAAAAAAUUAAAUAGUCAUUGGAGUAGGGAGAUUGGACCCUGGGUCUCCCACCUCCCAGCUGGAUGCCCUAGCUACUACUAACUGUGGGAGUACUCCUAAAGACAAACUACUGAGCACUUUCAAGCGUUGGCAUCCCUCCACUCUUGGGUUAGCUCCAGAGGUGAAAGUAAGCUGGUAUGGGCCGGUACAGAGGACAGCCAUCUGAUGGGAGCUACAUGAAGGUGCAUUUGGGCAUAUUUUUGCUCCAGCAGAACAUCCUGGCAAGUUCUCUGACUGCAGGAGUGCAGAUGAACACCAGCUGGGCACUUACAUUUUUUGGCAUAAAUCUUUUGUUUUGAAAUGGUUUAAAAUUUUCUAACAAUGCACGUAGUGCAACACU